rnacentral:rRNA from 1 species
CCUACGGGCGGCAGCAGUGAGGAAUAUUGGUCAAUGGACGAGAGUCUGAACCAGCCAAGUAGCGUGAAGGAUGACUGCCCUAUGUGUUGUAAACUUCUUUUAUAUGGGAAUAAAAUGUUCCACGUGUGGGAUUUUGUAUGUACCAUAUGAAUAAGGAUCGGCUAACUCCGUGCCAGCAGCCGCGGUAAUACGGAGGAUCCGAGCGUUAUCCGGAUUUAUUGGGUUUAAAGGGAGCGUAGGUGGAUUGUUAAGUCAGUUGUGAAAGUUUGCGGCUCAACCGUAAAAUUGCAGUUGAAACUGGCAGUCUUGAGUACAGUAGAGGUGGGCGGAAUUCGUGGUGUAGCGGUGAAAUGCUUAGAUAUCACGAAGAACUCCGAUUGCGAAGGCAGUUCACUGGACUGCAACUGACACUGAGGCUCGAAAGUGUGGGUAUCAAACAGGAUUAGAUACCCGAGUAGUC